GUGCACCAGGCGAGAAUUUUUCUCAAUGGGGGAAACCCUGAAGGAGCGACGCCGCGUGGAGGAUGAAGGUCUUCGGGUUGUAAACUCCUGUCAUUUGGGAACAAGCGUCGGUACGUAACUACUACCGGCUUGAUAGUACCAGAGGAGGAAGAGACGGCUAACUCUGUGCCAGCAGCCGCGGUAAUACAGAGGUCUCAAGCGUUGUUCGGAUUCAUUGGGCGUAAAGGGUGCGUAGGUGGCGCCGUAAGUGGGGUGUGAAAUUUCGGAGGCUUAACUCCGAAACUGCAUUCCAUACUGCGGUGCUUGAGGACUGGAGAGGAGACUGGAAUUCAUGGUGUAGCAGUGAAAUGCGUAGAGAUCAUGAGGAAGACCAGUGGCGAAGGCGGGUCUCUGGGACAGUUCCUGUACACUGAUGCACGAAGGCCAGGGGAGCAAACGGGAUUAGAUACCCC
rnacentral:rRNA from 1 species